GAUGAACGCUGGCGGCGUGCCUAAUACAUGCAAGUCGAGCGAACAGACGAGGAGCUUGCUCCUCUGACGUUAGCGGCGGACGGGUGAGUAACACGUGGAUAACCUACCUAUAAGACUGGGAUAACUUCGGGAAACCGGAGCUAAUACCGGAUAAUAUAUUGAACCGCAUGGUUCAAUAGUGAAAGACGGUUUUGCUGUCACUUAUAGAUGGAUCCGCGCCGCAUUAGCUAGUUGGUAAGGUAACGGCUUACCAAGGCAACGAUGCGUAGCCGACGUGAGAGGGUGAUCGGCCACCCUGGAACUGAGACACGGUCCAGACUCCUACGGGAGGCAGCAGUAGGGAAUCUUCCGCAAUGGGCGAAAGCCUGACGGAGCAACGCCGCGUGAGUGAUGAAGGUCUUCGGAUCGUAAAACUCUGUUAUUAGGGAAGAACAAAUGUGUAAGUAACUAUGCACGUCUUGACGGUACCUAAUCAGAAAGCCACGGCUAACUACGUG
rnacentral:rRNA from 1 species